CAAAAAGAUCUUCAGACGAGAUUCAGGAUGAUGGAGUCAGGAGAUCAACACACACACACACACACAGUUUCGAAGGAGCCUCCUCUUCUUCGCCCGCAUCUUGUUUACUUCCCACACGACGUACGAUACACAACCUCCCCUGCAUCCCACGGGCCUCCGCCUUGCCGCGUUGCAUUUGGGGCCCGAGUUUAACGCUGACCUACAUCUCAGCCGGUGACUCAUAACCCGCAGGAGAGGGGGAUUAAAACGCAGGCGGCACGCGGCAUCGCGUAAGUGUGCGAUGUGAUUAAACCACGGUUGACCUACAUGAAGCUCGAAUGAAGAGCGGAGGUGAUAUCAGGCGGCGCGUGGUCAGUCCAUCCUUCAUUGCGUGGAGCCGCUCUCCUCAAAACGCCACCAGGAGUUCAAGGGGAGCUUUACAUCCGCAGCGUCAUCG
ensembl:lncRNA